CUGCAAAUAUUCUUGAUUUCUGAUUUUAUAUUAAGCAGGACAGACUAAACAUUUGCUAUAUAAAAAUCAUGCACAUGUCCCCAGACCUAGUUCUUUCCCUAGUAUAGUUUUAUAAAUGCCGGUGAGAAAC